UUUGGUUAUAGCUGCUGGAAAGAGACUCCGACUCACCACAGGCAAACGCAACAUGCUGGAGGAGAGGCAGAGAGGCGACAUCAUAUGGCUGAGAUGUGCAGUGGGUGCGCCUGGCUGACGCGUCAAACGUGGACCACAGAAUGAAGAAAAGUUAUUGGUCAUCCGCACGGAAAGAAGAAUGCUUUCAUUCAGAGGAGCUGCGGCUGGCUUUCAUAACAGCGGGGUGAACCCACAACGCACGCUGUUCCUCUCAAUAGCCAAGACAGCCUUGUCUCAGCCCUCUCUAUCUCCAGCGACCCAAAGUGACCAUCUCAUCCCUCUGUGGAUCAUUCAGCCCUGAGGGGGGAGCUGGCACAUUCUCCAAUAGCUCUGUUUUGGGAAUGUGUGUGUGUGUGUGUGUGUGUGUGUGUGUGUGUGCUCGCUCGUGUGUGUUCUGCAUAAUCUUAUUAUCAAACCUAGAAGUCAUUCCAUGUACUGAUUAUAGUCCAUGGCCCCUGUGACACAGUCUUCCUUGAAGAUAUGCUGCUAUCUCAGAAAGAGACAAAAUACAGAGGACACUCUGAGCGUCCCCACUGGGACUUUCCAGGAAACUUAAUGGAGCAAUCAUAUCACUUAGACAUCAGCGUUCAUGGUGUUCCUCACGUACUGUCUCAAUGAACUGGGUUCAGAACAGUGAUCGUUCACUUCUUGUUCUUUGUUUUUUUUUUUUUUCCCUUGCUCAACCAUCACACAGAAUCACUUUUAAACCAUGCAGUAGAUGUAACAUAUAUGAUUGCCAAAUUUUGAAUGAAGUUUUGGAAUUAUACUUUUAUGGCUGCAACAAAUAAUCAUUAUUAUUAUUGACAUUUUGUUCUGCUGAUUUUGUCUGCGUCAUUUUCUUAAGCAGUUAAUCAUUUGCUCUAUGAACUGUCAUAAAAUUGUUGGGGGUUUUUUUUGGUUUUUUUUUUAAAAACACCAGUCACCUUGUAGAGCUCAUGUUGACAGUUGACAUGUUUAAAUUGCAUGUUUUGUCUCACCAAUGGUCCAAAACUUCCAAAUUUUCAGUUUACUAAGUUUAUUAACAUAGAAGACCAACAAAAGUUUUUAACAUUUUUGCUUUAAAAAGUGGAUUAAUCAAUUGAAUGAUUUUCAAAAUUGAAACUAAUGAGUUAAUGAAUCAAUUAUUUCAGCUCCAGCCACUACUGAUGCCAGUCCACACUGGAAAAAUCCACACUGUCAAUAUUGACUGUCUGACCUGUGCCAAAGUAAUUUUUUAACAGCUAUGAUUUGUCAGAGCAAGAAAAGCACAUGUGCAUCUAAUUAUAUUAACACUGAUUUAAAACAUCUAGCAGGUCUCCUGGGGGAUAUGCCUGUUCAAUAUUUCCUCUCACAGAUGUAUUUUCAUUUUUUUAAUGGGUUAGUACUUUACUGUUACAAUGACAGGAGAAGCUCUGGGAUGGAGCGGACCUUAAAUGCCUGAUUGAUGUUUAGGGAACAAAAUUGGCUUUAUAUGCUUUAAAUAAAUGUAAUGUAGGGUUUGUGCCACUGUUAUGUAGAUAACUGUCAGAGAUCUCCCUCAUACUGUAUCUCAGCUGGAUGACUAGACAUCCUGUUUGUAGGAUAUGAGUAAUUAUAUCACAGUUGGCCCAGAUAUACACUACUGGUCCUCCUAUACCACUGAAAAACCUUAAAUGGUCCAAAGUUCACAGGUAAACUAGGUUUAAGAUGUCACGAUUUGAGUUAUACAUUUAUAUUCAUUAUUUGUUUGUUCUAUGCUUUAAUUUAAGAGUACACUAAAUUUUUGUAACAAGUGGAAAAAUGGAGGUGUUUUAAAACUUUUGAUCAGUAGUGUAUGUAGCAGCCUUUUUCAGAAGACAGCACUGAUUCAAAUAUUGACGUUAAUAAUGUGUGAAUUCCAUUCAGCUGCCUCAGUUUCAGGGUCCUGGUAUCACUGCAUGCUGCUUCAGUGUCACACUGUCACUUAAUGUAGUGGAAAUUUCACAUUACUGUAAUGUUACUUUGAUGUAUCCAAGUUUGGUCUUCACGCCCUCACACUGCAAGUUUAACUUUGUUCACCUCUCACCUCUGUUUGUGCAGACCACAAGUGUACCUUAUCUCUGUGUGAGUAACCUGACCCAUAUGCAUAUGUUUGUAUUCCAAUAAAUACUCAGAAAGACUC